GAAAUGCGAUAAGUAAUGUGAAUUGCAGAAUUCAGUGAAUCAUCGAAUCUUUGAACGCACAUUGCGCCCGCCAGUAUUCUGGCGGGCAUGCCUGUUCGAGCGUCAUUACAACCCUCAGGCCCCCGGGCCUGGCGUUGGGGAUCGGCGGAAGCCCCCUGUGGGCACACGCCGUCCCUCAAAUACAGUGGCGGUCCCGCCGCAGCUUCCAUUGCGUAGUAGCUAACACCUCGCAACUGGAGAGCGGCGCGGCCAUGCCGUAAAACACCCAACUUCUGAAUGUUGACCUCGAAUCAGGUAGGAAUACCCGCUGAACUUAA
rnacentral:misc_RNA from 1 species